rnacentral:rRNA from 1 species
AGAGUUUGAUCCUGGCUCAGGAUGAACGCUAGCGGCAGGCUUAACACAUGCAAGUCGAGGGGUAUAGGUUUUCGGACCUAGAGACCGGCGCACGGGUGCGUAACGCGUAUGCAAUCUACCUUUUACAGAGGGAUAGCCCAGAGAAAUUUGGAUUAAUACCCCAUAGUAUUAUUGAAUGGCAUCAUUUAAUAAUUAAAGUCACAACGGUAAAAGAUGAGCAUGCGUCCCAUUAGCUAGUUGGUAAGGUAACGGCUUACCAAGGCAUCGAUGGGUAGGGGUCCUGAGAGGGAGAUCCCCCACACUGGUACUGAGACACGGACCAGACUCCUACGGGAGGCAGCAGUGAGGAAUAUUGGUCAAUGGGCGCAAGCCUGAACCAGCCAUGCCGCGUGCAGGAUGACGGUCCUAUGGAUUGUAAACUGCUUUUGUACAGGAAGAAACAGUUCUACGUGUAGAACCUUGACGGUACUGUAAGAAUAAGGAUCGGCUAACUCCGUGCCAGCAGCCGCGGUAAUACGGAGGAUCCAAGCGUUAUCCGGAAUCAUUGGGUUUAAAGGGUUCGUAGGCGGUUUAGUAAGUCAGUGGUGAAAGCCCAUCGCUCAACGGUGGAACGGCCAUUGAUACUGCUAGACUUGAAUUAUUAGGAAGUAACUAGAAUAUGUAGUGUAGCGGUGAAAUGCUUAGAGAUUACAUGGAAUACCAAUUGCGAAGGCAGGUUACUACUAAUGGAUUGACGCUGAUGGACGAAAGCGUGGGUAGCGAACAGGAUUAGAUACCCUGGUAGUCCACGCCGUAAACGAUGGAUACUAGCUGUUGGGAGCGAUCUCAGUGGCUAAGCGAAAGUGAUAAGUAUCCCACCUGGGGAGUACGU